GGAUACCUAAAUACAAGUUAGUCCAACACAAAUAUGUGAAUUCUCUCUCCUUUCUUCAAUGACGUGGCAAGGGUUUUAGGAGAGACUUUUUUAGGUCAAAAAUUAUUUCCAUUCUCCAUGGAUGGAGGCGCUAAUCCUCCAUCAAUCCAAUGAGAAAUUAUUCAUAAUUCAUCUUCUAGUGCAAAUCCCAGUACUGGAUUGAAUAUUUUCCUUUAUUACCUCAUUCAAAGCUCCAUCUUUUAUUUUAGGGGUUUCAAAUCCUGGAUCUGCUGGUAACCUAAAUCGGAAAUCUUGUCUCAAUAAUCAAGCUAGAACGACAGCAUCAACAACACUUGUUUUUGAUGGAUCGAAAUGGAGAUCCAAUUGUUUUGUUUUCUUAGAUGAGCUAUAACCACAUAUUAAAUUCAAUGAAUCUUUAGUAUUGGGGUACGUUAUGGGUAAGAGGCCAGAUUUCACCUUUGUGAAAGAGAAAUUAACGGCUCAGUGGAAAAGAAAGGGAUAUUUUGAGAUGACAAUCUAUGCAGAGCAAGAUUUCAUGUUCAAAUUUUCUCAGAAGAGGAUUAAACAAGGAUCCUAAAAAUGGGUUAUCUUUUUAUUGCAAGUAAGUUAUUCUUAACCAUGGUCUCCAUUUAUUGAACAACAUAUUGGUGCAAUUAAAUUUGUCCCAAUUUGGUUGUUAAUUAGAGAUUUACCAUUUCAUCUUUGGAACCCUACUGGAUUUACGAGGAUUUGUAGUCUUGUAGGAACACCAAUUAUGACUGAUCCCCUAAUGCAAUGAAGACUACAAUGUCUUUUGCGAGGGUUUGUGUUAAAAUUGAUUCUACUUGCACCUUUCCUGCUGAUCUACCCUAUCAAAUCGAUGAUAAAGAAAAGUAUAAGGUAUGGGUUGAAUAUCCAUGGAAACCUACUCUAUGUACUCUUUGCAAGAGCUUUGGGCACUUAAGUGCUAAGUGCGGAUCCAAUCCAGCGCCUAGGGACAAGAAAAAUGGAUGCGUAAAUUCACUAAAAAAGUGUUGCUCUAACUCAAAUGGCAUUUUUCAAGUUGUAAGGGGAGAUAAGAAAGUGCAAGUCUCCACAUUGAUAUUUCAAAGCCAAUUGUUGAUCAAAUUGAGCAAGAAGACAAUUACCAAAUUAAAAAUCCUUUCAAACCAUUCCACUGAAGUUGAAGUCGAGAAGGAGAUCAGGAAUGAGGAUUUUCCUCAAUUUCCAAAUUGAGGUUGUACUGUAUGCACUAAAAAGAAGAAACCCAAAAAUCAAAGUGGUGGGACGUCUUGUCAUUUGAACCCUUUAGCUUUAGUCCAUGAAGUUGUAUUGAAUGAGAAUCCAUUAUUUAUUCCGGAAGAAGUUGAGGUUAGAACAAAGGAUGAUAAUGCUGAAGAUCAAGAUCAAGAAAAAGAAAAAGCUGCAAGGUAGACGACUGAUGAUCUGAAUAUGAGACAGAUUCUGAAACCAUGGGAAUGGAGAUUAGAGAACGUGCGAAGGUGAAAGCUAUUGACUAUAAUCCUCGGAAAGACCCUUAACCAAUUUUCAACAAUUGGACAAUCUGUUGAUGAUGACUAACUCUCUAAGAGUGACUAAGGGACCUAUGGAGAACAAAGCCAAAGGCAUCCUUUAUGAGAUAACAAUGAAACAUGGAAAGCAAAAAAAAAACACUAGAGCAGAUGAAAUGGAAAGGGGUAGACUUGAAGUAGAUCUAGUAAUUUUUCAUUUGAUGUGAUGAAGAUGUACUGAUAGAUAUGAUUUCUGAGUUUUAUAAGGAUGUAGGAUACAAAUAUUGUCUAAAUCUUAACAUAGAUAAUGUUUUUAGGAAUCAGAAUUGUAGGGUAUUGAAAUGUCAUUGAUACCUGAUAAGAAAUGAAUAAAAUGUAGUCGUAAAUCUGAGCAGUACAUAGAAGGUGUCACAGUUUGCUAGUGAAAAAGGCAGUGCAAAUGUGUUAUUCUCAUGCCCUUGUGGUUGCUGUAAGAACAUUAAAGGAUUGGAGACACUUACUGAGAUUUCGUAUCAUUUGCUGAAAGAACGGUAAAGGAUUACAUUCUGCAAGAAUGAAGAAGAAGAGAAAUCAAAAGAACGGAGAGAUGAAAAUAAGAGAAAAGGAAACAAUAUGAAUACUCUCAUACCUCUGGUCGUUAAUCUCAUUCUUUCGUUAUAGCUGAACUGAUAUAUAUAAUUAUUUCAUAUGUUUUCUCAAUUAUGAAUCUCAACACUUAUGGACAAUGUGACUACUCUCAUACUUCUGUAUAUUUUUUUAAUGUUAAUUGGCUUGUCAAAUUUGAAAACUUCGAAGCACGAGAAUCUUGGAGUGGAAGUCACUAUCUCUGAUCUGUGGAUUAUAGUUCAUACUAAAGAGGGUGGGAAAAUUCUACCUAGCGCGCAGCAAUACUUUGUCAGUCAGGAGGAUCUUUAUAAGGCGCAAGAAGAGAUCUAGGAAAAACAAGCUGCGGGUAUUUCUGUAGGAGUAUUUGAUACAUUGACUACAGUUUUUGGAUAGGAUUCUAAAGGACGGGUUUGUGUUGUUGGUCCUGUUUCCCGUACAUAAUUUAUUUAUUAUGGUCCUGCACGUGCUAAAGUUCAAAAAAUGAAGUCUAAGGAUGAAGGUAGUAAGCAUCAGGCUCAAAGGCUUUGGAAUGUUAUGCCAUAUUGUGAAGGAUAUCCAAUCUGUAAUUCCACCAUAAUUUGUUAUCUCGAACAUCAUGGACAGUUCACCUGCUGAAGCUGCUUCUGUUGUUAAUACAAGUUAACCUAGCCAGCACCUUCACCUGCUCAGCCAAUAUCACCAGCUCGAUCAGCAGUAGGUGAUGACAUGCAGGAGUGUUCAUUGUUGAACAUGGAUGGUGAAACCGUUGUUGUCGGUAAAAUUUUCACAUGUGAAUUAGAGGAGAUGACUCAUGGCUCACCUGUACUGCCUCAUCUUGCGAAAAUGUUGCUGGAUGACAUUCUCAUGCCAUUUGAGAAGACCAUAUAUGGAUUUUAGAGAUGUUGGAAUCGGAGGAUUUGUGGUGCAUCCAAGGAUGUGCAUCAAAUUUGAUUAGCUAAUCAAUCUAAUUUUUUGGAUAUGAUAUGAAACUAUUCAUUGAUAUCUCAUUCAUCAUGCAUCGCGGUUAUAAAUGACUAACAUAUAUGGAUUUUACCUUUUUUUUUCUUCUUAUGUUCACACUUUUGUACAUGUGCUUAACAUGCUAACAUGUAAAUUCUUUUGCAGUUGUGCAUUAGAAUGUCUCGUUUGCAAUUAUUCUUUGAAAGACUUUUAUGCAGUUGUGUAUAAGAAAUAUUUAGCUUUACCUGAUGUAAUUAUGUGAACAGGAAUCUGAAUUCUAUGAAUCAAGUUUUAUGAUA